UGUGUGUGUUAGUUACCAUUUUGUCCUAGGCACAUGUCAAUUAGACACUUGGCCUGUUGUAUAUAAGAGUGUGUGUGUGUGUGUGUGUGUGUUAGUUACCAUUUUGUACUAGGCACGUCUAUUAGACAAUUGGCCUGUUGUAUAUUAGAGAGAGUGUGUGUGUGUGUGUGUGUGUGUGUGUGUGUGUGUGUGUGUGUGUGUGUGUGUGUGUGUGUGUGUGUGUGUGUGUGUGUGUGUGUGUGUAUUAGUUACCAUUUUGUCCUAGGCACAUGUCAAUUAGACACUUGGCCUGUUGUAUAUAAGAGUGUGUGUGUUAGUUACCAUUUUGUCCUAGGCACAUGUCAAUUAGACACUUGGCCUGUUGUAUAUAAGUGUGUGUGUGUGUGUGUGUGUGUGUUUGAGGUUGCAGGGGUCGUGUGUGUGUGUGUGUGUGUGUGUGUGUGUGUGUGUGUGUGUGUGUGUGUGUGUGUGUGUGUGUGUGUGU